NAACUUCCCAGCAAGAAGGGUAACCAACCUGUUGAAGCGGAAGGAAUGGAGUUAUUAGGCCUUAACGAAAGUGAAGGAAUUGAGCCCCGAAACAUAUAUAUUUGCCAGAGGUCGACCUUGUUCAUGCAAGGGAAGACAACAGACUUGAAGACGACAGAUUCAGGUGAGUCUUAGCAAGUACAGGCCGGGGUCUGAGACCA
rfam:Bacteroidetes bacterium RIFCSPHIGHO2_02_FTLL_44_7 rifcsphigho2_02_scaffold_172043, whole genome shotgun sequence.